CCAUACGGGACACGGGAGCCUGUUAACCUGUGGAGAGAGAAACAAAAGAUGGACAAGUACUAGUACAAGAAUUAUUUAGGGGUAAAGUGGUAAUGUGGUGUGUGGCACCACUAUCCACAACCCACGGUUUAUCAAAAAGAGAAGGGCGAGCAGAUGGACCUGUGAAGGAGAGAGCUGGGCCUUUGAGGAGUUCCAUUAAUUGGUUAUGUUGCUCGGUGAAGAGACCAGAAAUUUCACUCAUGGCUAAGGAGUUGGCGGCGACAGAAACUUGAUGGAUAGCCAGCAAAAAGGAACCGACUGUGCUGCGUUUGCUCUUGGAUGACUACCAUUCUAUGUACCCAAUAACCUCAAAGCAUUUGUCAUGUUGAUGGCCGGGUUUACCACAUGCUUCACAGAGAGGAGUUUCGAUGGGCCAGACUCGACGAGGACGAGGUUGAGUCCGCUGUGGCAUCGAGCGGGCAAUUAGAGUUGAGGCAUCUGGUCGAGCUGGGUUUAAUUGGAGCAAACGUUGGGUUUCUUCUUGAUAGAGGGUAGCAUAGAAAUGAAUAAUAGAAAGGAGUGGGUCUGUGGCUAAAAUCUGUGAUUGAAUUUGCUGAAAACUCUCGUUAAGGCCCAUGAGAAAUUGAUAAACUCGAUAUGUGUCUUGAGAUUCAACGAAGGAUUUAUGGGCAUCACAUGUACAUGGAUUGAUUGGUUGCAAGGAGCCUAAUUCAUCCCAUAACUCCUUCAAUUUUCCUUAGUAUGAUGUAAUUGAUUUUUGUUCCUUGUGAAGAUUGGCCAAAUCCCAAAACUUUAGUGUGUUUGCUUUGUUAGAAAUGGGUUUCUAGUUCUACCCAUAAGUCAUUUGGUGUAGCAUAAUAGAGAAGGCUACCUAUAAGUAAGCGAUCAAUGGAAUGGAGCAGCCAUGACAUUAUUAUGUCACAACAUCAGUCCCAGAGUAAUACUGCAGCAGAGUCUUCGGUGGGUCGUUUGAUGGUGCUGAGAACAAAGCCCAAUUUGUUCUUAGCAUUCAGUGCUCGAGUGAUUGGUCGAUGCCAAGAAGAUAAUUGUCGCCACUAAGAGGUGUAUCGACAAGAAAUUGAUUUGGUUGAUCAGAUGGAUGCAGGAACUAUGGAGAUGAAGCAUUAGUGAGAGACUUGUUGAUGUCGAAGGCAGGGGAUUCGGCCGCAGAAGCAAAGAUAGUAGCUGAGUUGAGCACCACUAGGCUAGUAGAUCUAUCGAGUUGAGCCAUAGAUUGUCAAGCAUUGUAUAAUAUAUCUUAUCAGUUUAAAUAGUUCAUAUUUUGGGAUAGACACAUCUUUUGGUCAGAAAUUAGUUCCAUGUCUUAGGCCUGUUGUGUUUUGUAUAUUAUACAUUUGGGUAUUGUUUGUAAAUUAUUGCAAAGGACGAAUUGCCAAUGUUAUAUUUGAAUAAUUGGUAUUUUGUGGGGCCAGUGUACCCUAUUUUAAACUAUAUGUAUAUGUUUGGGAUAUUGGAUUAUAUUUUCACGGGAUUUUAGUCCAUAUUUCAGAGAGAACUCUGCCAAAAUUUUUACAAAGUAUAUCACAAUCAAAGCAGGUCAAGGUUACCUUGAUGGUGGGUCCGACACACUUAGUUGGUAUCUACCAUUGGUGCACGACAUGUGUCGGGUCCAUUAUUGUAAUUCAAGACGGGUCGUGUCAAUUGGUAUCAGAGCAUGGUUAUACAGUCAGCUUGCAUUGCAUUUAUUUUGAAUUCGUUCUGAACAUAUCAUACAUGUUUUGUAGUUGGAAGUAAUGGCUCGAGGUAGUAAGACUCACAGACUCCAUAAUGUGCCACCUCAACCACAAGUUGCUCCUAAUAGAGAUGUUAGUAGAGUUGAGCAAUCAAUACAGUAAACUCAUGAGUAGACACAAGGAAAUGUAGCUCAGUCUAAUAAUAUAGCUGAUAGGACUGCCACUAAUGUUGCUUCUACAUUGUGCAGUUCAGAUAAAGAAUAUAGCAUCGAGCGAGCAACUAAAUUAGGAGUUAAAGUGUUCACAGGUACAGCUGAUCCAGCAAAAGCCAAAUCUUAGCUGGUAAAGAUCAAAAGAAUAGUUUAGGUUAUGGAUUGUCUCGAUGAUCAGAUGGCACGUCUUGCUACCUUCUUGCUAGAAGGAGGUAUAGAGUAAAUAUGUUAAUCCUUCUGUGAUUUCAUGGGGUGAUUUUAAGGAAGAUUUUAAUGAGUACUACUGCUCUCACUCAUAUAAGAAUGAUAAACAGAAUGAAUUCUUGAAAUUUGUACUGACAUCUGCAGUGGCAGAAUAUCAAAAAAAGUUUAUAGAAUCAUCAAAUUAUGCGGAGUUCUUGUAGCUGAUGAAAUUGAUAAAUGUAGAGGUUUGAAUAUGGCUUGAAAGAAGAGAUCAGAUCAGUGGAUAUAGCAUCGGAGUAUGAAAAUUUUGAUAAACUUCUAGAAGCAAUUCUAAAAUUUGAAAAAAGUAUUUCAAAACGACAAAGCAGUCAGCAACUAAUGAGGCCUAGUGUUAGUGGUGGUAAGCAGACAUGUGUAGGAGCUUCUAUGUUUAGACCACCGAGAAGGGAUCACAUAGGAGGUGGAUUAGAUGUUUCUACUUCUAGUAGCUUUAAAUCCAAAUCCCACAGAAGUCAGGGCUCGAAAUCGAGCCAAAGAUUAGUGCAGCAGCCAGGGAGUAGUAGUACUCAUACUCAGGGUUUGUUCAGAGAUCAUUUACUUCAGGACAUAUUGAUAGCUAUAGUUUGUCAAAUUUCCACAGUGUCAGUUGUGUGGAAAGUUUCACUCUGGAGACUGCUUUAAGGUCAUUGGAGUUUGUUAUCAAUGUGGUCUAACUAGACAUAUGAGGAGAAAGUGUCCAGUUCGCCUUCAGCAGGUGGUACCUCACAGAGAGCAUCUUUACAACCAGGUGGUAUCUCUAGACAGAGAAUACGUUGGCAGGUGGAACAGGUGCUUCUAGUGCUAUUCAGUCCAAUGUUGCUGGCAGUAGUGGUACUAGACAGAAAGGCUAUGCUGGAUAUGCUAGGGCUCAGGGAGAGUUGUUGCUAUGACUCAGCAUGAAGCCAAUGAGUCACCAAACGUGGUCAUGGAUACGUUAUUUAUGUUUCGUAAAAAAAAACUCGUUCUUUAAUUGAUUCUGGUGCUACACAUUCAUUUAUAUCUUAUGCAUUUGCUAAUUAUGCAGACCAUGUGUCAGAACUGUUAGAUAGUGAUUUAAUGGUAGCUACUCCAGUAGGAGAUUCAUUCUUAGUUGACUGUGUGUACAAGGAUUGUGUGAUUAGAGUGAAUUAUCGGGAGUUGAAAGCUAAUUUGAUUCAACUUGAUAUUUAUGAUUUUGAUGUGGUAUUGGGCAUGGAUUUCCUAGCUGCAAAUCAUGCCUUAGUUGACUGUUUUCACAAAGAGAUAGUGUUAAAAGACCAGAAGAGCUUGAAAUUGUUUUUAAUGGUGAAUGAAGAAUAUUACAUUCAUCUAUCAUAUCCGCACUUGAUGCUGGGAGAUUGCUUAGGAAAGGUUGCGAUGCAUAUUUAGCUCAUGUGAUUGAUACUCUAAUCAUUAAGCAAAUACUUGAUGAUAUAUCGCUGGUAAGAGAUUUCCCUGAUGUUUUUCCUGAAGAUCUUCUAGGGUUACCUCUAGAUAGAGAAAUUGAGUUUAUAAUUGAUUUGAUUCUAAGAACUACACUAAUUUCACAACCACCUUACAGAAUGGCCGCAGUAGAGCUCAAAGAAUUGAAAGUUCAGUUGCAAGAUUUAGUUGACAAGGGUUUCAUUAGACCCAGUGUGUCUCCAUGGAGAGCACCGAUCUUAUUUAUGAAGAAGAAAGAUGGCACAAUGAGAUUGUGUAUUGAUUACAGACAACUGGAUAAAGUGACUAGUUCAUAAUUCAGAGAGAACUCUGCCAAAAUUUUUACAAAGUAUAUCAUAGACAAAGUAUGUUAAAGUUGUCUUGAUGGUGGGUCCGACAAUUAGUUGGUCUCUACCAUCGACGACGACACGUGUCGGGUCCAUUAGGGUGAUUCGAGACAGGUCGUGUCAAACAUUCUCCCUAGCAGUGUUCUGAAUCGACUCAGAGCCCAACCUAAGAUGUACUGUACCAAACUGAACUUCCACCAUGAUACUAAACUUGUCCAAAUGUCUUAUAAUCGAUUCUGCACUCCUCUACAAAAUGUACAACUGGGAUCUCCUCCGUCUCUCCAGUACAACUCGAACUCCCUUUUGAACCUUCAAGACUCCACCUCCUCCAGAGAAUUUAUACCCUUUUACAUCCACGGUAUUUAGCGAAAUGAGAUUCCUUUCAAGUCAGGAACAUUCGAACCUGAUCUAAAUAUUCUAUGCAGCAACCUCAAUCUGACUCGACCGAUCUUAGCAAUAUGGCAAAAUUCGUAGUUUUCCAUUACAACUCUACCUUAUUGAAUAGCCUCAUAUGUCUGAAAUAAAUUCCUAUCAGAACACAUAUGGUGCGAACAUGUUGAAUCAAUAAUCCGCUCCUCGUCAGGCAUAGACUCCAUAUUAGAUACCACAGUCAACAUUACCUUUUUACUAUCUGAACAAUUCUCAACUACAUUGGUUUUUGUCUGAAUUCAAAGGUUGCACCCCACGAUUUCAGUUAAAUCACCUUUAGCCUGCAACAUAUCGCAAUCCUUUCGAAUAUGUCCUUUUCUUUUGCAGUAGUAACAGGUCACAUUACUAAAUCUAACUCUCGAUUUGCCUCUUCGUUGACCAUUUUGAGAUAUAAGAGCUUCCCCAUCCCUUGAUGUAGCUCCAACCAAAUGCUUCAUCUUCUCAUUUGAGUGCAAAGCAUCAUAGACAUCUUUAUAGUCAAACUAUCUCGACUAUACAAGAUAGUAUCCCAAAAUAAUGUAUAAGACCUAAGCAGCGAACACAACAAGAUCAAGGCAAGAUCCUCUUCAUCGUACUUAACCUCCAACAUCUCCAAAUCUGCAACUAUUUCCUUGAACACAGCAAUGUGAUCUUCCAAUGAUCCUCCUUCCACCAUGCAAUGGGAAUACAGCUUCUGCUUAAGAGCCAAUUUACUUGUAAAACUCUUAGUCAUACACAACUACUUUAGUCUAAACCACAAAGCAACCGUUGUCUUCUCCUUCAAGACAUCUUCCAGAAUAUUGUUGGAUAAAAAAAGAUGAAUCAACGACAUAGCCUUUCGAUCCUUCUACUAUUUUUCCUUCGUUGUCCAUCCAGCUGGCAUCCUGUCAAAAUCUCACAACGCAUCUUCCAAAUCCAACUGUGCUAGAACAACCCUCAUCUUUACUUUCCACAACAAGAACCUUGUACUAAAAUAUAAUUGCGGAAUAUCAUACUUCAACCCAACUAUCUCGAAAAAAAUCUCAACCAAUCCGCAGAGAAUCAACGGCCUCGUUCUAACACCACUUGUUGGGUGCGGAAGCUCCAACAAUAUUAGUUGAUUCCAAAUCAGAUUUGAAGGAACGAGAUUAUAAGACAAUAUUGAAGUAAACAAGAUCACACAACGAAAAAAGGUUUAAAUUGUAAAGAGGAACAAAAGGAUUAACGCAGAGAAAUGAUGUUUAUUGAAUCAACAAUAUGGAGAAUACAAAGCAAUCUAGCAGUUGGCUUAGAAUUGACAGAAGAGCCUUGUAUUUAGAGGCCAACCUUAUAAGAGCCCUAAAAGGCAAGAAAAUAUAUUAAAAUUAGGAGACCCAUUUUAACAGGAUUUUGUUUCCUUUUGUUGGAUGCAAUUAGAUUCCAUUUCUAAGUAAAAAUCUAACACGAAUCUUCAAAAGACUCCUAACCAAUUUCUAGGAUUCCACUUGAUCAAAUUCUAAAUCAACAAUAAUCCUAACACAUUUGAGUCACCAACCCUAACAUUCCUGAGCCAAAGGGAACGAUAGAUUCAUUGGCAGUAUUGACGCAAAAGUUUGGAAGGAGAGAUAGUGACAUGAAGAGCAGACUACUUUAAGAGAGCUAUGGAGCUGAAGGAUGCAGAGGCCUUGAACAAAUACGCAAACUUCCUCCAGUAGGCGAAGAAGGAUCUUUGGGCUGCCGAGGAAACCUACUUGGAAACCAUUGAAUAAUGAAGUUUCCACGUGCUCAAACAUUUAGUGCAAUGGCAAACUUUUUGAGUUGGCUAGUGACGUUAUUAAAAUCAUUUAGAUAUACUCUACAUUUUGACAUAUAUUAUUAAAUUUUACUUAAUAUUUUUUUGUUGAAAUUAUGGAAAAUAUGAUUUGAUAG